AUAAUUAACAGGUUUUUACAAAAUAAUGAAAUUGAAGUCAUCGAAAAAGGGAGCUUUGAUGGUAUGACCAGCCUGAUUGGAAUAUUCCUUUUCAAAAACAAACUGAGUCAUCUUCCUAACGAUGUCUUCACUGGAAUGUCUCCUCGAAAUGUGUUUUUAAACGACAACGUAUUUGCUAAUCUUACUGGAAGGCCGUUCAGGGGAGUAAAGAAAACGAACACAGUUUUGUAAGUGUAUCAUUCAUUCUUCUUGCUCGAAGCCAAUCACUGUUCCAAUUUGACCCCAAG